GCAUGUUUAAUGAAGGGAGUAAGAACGGAACGAACCGUAGCUAUGAAACCCAUGAGGGCAGCCCCGUUUUUCACAUAUUAGCUUGUCUUUCGAUUUUUGUUUGAUCGUUUUGACUUGAUAUUUGUGCUUAGGGGUAUGCUAGAAUCGAUAUAUAUUAAAUUCGUAUUUUUCCAAGCAUGAAAAUUGUAUAAGUUUUUAGAGUAUGAUUAUUUAAAUUCGUGAAGUUUGGGACGUUGCAUAAUGAAUAUUAUUGCGUAUAUGUGUUCUACGAUAUCACAUGAGCAUGCUAAUUGAUUUACAAUUUAUGGAUGAUAAUUGUUGAACGAAAUUAAAACUGGAAUUCUGUCAAAAUUUUACAGCAGUUUCAAGCUUAUGUUUCGAUGAGUUUUCAUUGCUUGAUGGCUCUGAAAUUUUAGUAUGUUUAUCUAUGAUAUGUGUAUUUCGUCGCUGCAAAAUUUCAUGUCUUUUGGAUGAUGUUUGCUAUUUUAAAGAUAUUUUGAAAAACCCUUGACAGAAUCUGUCAACUGUUGGUAGACUUCACAAAAACGUUUAUAUCUAUUAAUCCAUGAAGGAUUUUGCAUCACCGUUUUUUUUUAAACGAAACUAGACUUCAAUACUUUUCUGAAAACAUAAGAUUUCGAUUUUUAUGACCUCUGAAAUAGAGCAGUUUAUUAUUUCAAAAAUGCCCUGUUCUGCUGUCAUAUUUGUCCAACAGUAAAAGUGUAUGAGUUUCAUUGUUUAUUUGGCAGAUCAUAUGAACGUUUUCUCUUGUGAAAUUUUAACCAAAUCUUCAAGGAUACCUUUAGUUUUGGAUGAUUAAAUUUGAUGGAAUUUUAUUAAGGUUUGCCUUGGUUUCUAAUGGCCUAAACAAAAUUGGCAGAAACUGUCAAUCUUUGACAGCCUGCACUAAAAGAGCAAUAUCUCCAAAAACCUUUAACCUUUUUGGUUAACUACCAUUUUUAGAGUGAACUACACUUCAUGAAGGUUUUGAGAUCAAUUGGUAUGAGAGUUUAUGAUGAUUGAGUUGGUUGUUAUGAAUUCUUAAAGAUGACACAAAAACAGCAAAACUUUCUAGAAAACAACUUGAUUAUAUUUGUUUUGAUGGAUGAUACGAUAUGACUAAAUGGUGUGAGUUGUGAGAGUUAUGAUUAACGCACAUAAAUGUUGGUAUCUGACACUCGAACAAUUGGUGUCGAGUAUAAAUGAUAGUUUACUGAUAAAGAGUUUUGAUGAUUUUGAAUUGUUUGGUUUGCGUUGAAAAGAUGUCAAGAUGUUAAGUUUUGAGUCGAGAGACGAGUUCACGUAGUGAGAUUCACGCGAUGAAAUCUCGUGGCUGACAUUAUAUAUGAAUGGGUCAUGCCGAAAUUUUUAGUGAAAUUAGGAUUUGAGCAUAGUCAAUUCUUGUUGACCCGUGACUCAAAUACAUGCCUAAUGGAAAGUUUAACUUUCUAAUUGGUUAAUUAGACGAGAUAAGAGCGAAUAGAUCUGCUAAGAAAGUGGACUUUUCGAUGUGUUAAAUAUUUCUUUUAAUUGAAGUGCUGUUAAUUAUAACAUAAGGAUGUUAUAAUUAAUGAGUAAUGACGAGAGAUAAUAAUUGUUAUAUUGAUUAACAAUCAAGAGAGAUGAACAUUAGAGAUACUAAUGUUUCAUAAAAGAGAUUAGAUUAUUAAUCGAGGUUUCUUUUAUAACUUCUCACCAAUUCUUCAUAACGAUGAAGGUCCUUUUUGGGAAGUAACGACUUGAGGGAGAGAGUGACGUUACUCAUUGAUACAGAGACACAACGAGGUUGAGCUGAUGUGAUGAUGGUGCUGCAAUGAGCGGAGUCUCCAGGGUUGUUAAUAAAUAGUUAACCUGUCUAGAAUAUGUCUUCAUACAUAUGUCUAGCUACUUUCCGCUGCAAGAUGUUGUUGAUGUUAUAGUAUGUUAUGUCAUACUUUGAGUCUUAAGAGAAUGGUUUCAUACGAUGUAUAACUUGAUUAAUGAUAUUAAUUAAGUUUUAUGCUGUCUUUCAUAGACUGUUUUCAAUUGAGUAUUAAUGAAUAAAAAUGACGAGUUUUAUUAAGAUGAGUAAGUUUUACGGCUAUAAAUGACGCCCCUUUUCUUCCCCUUCUUCUUUAACCCCAUCCCUAGUCGUGGAUCACUCGGCCUAACUAUCCAUAGUUAGGGCGGGCUGUGACAGAGUGGUAUCAGAGCGAAGGAAAGCUCUGAAUUAGAAGUCUUGAGUUUAGUCUAGAAUGAGUCACUAGACUAAUAGUUAUUAACAACCGUGAGCUCAGCGCACUAUCACACCAGGCUCAACGAGGUAUGUAAAAUUUCAAAGUUUAUUUGACGUUAAAUUUUGAAGAGCACGAUGUUGAGGUUAUAUGAUGAGUUAUGAUGUUAUGCUUUGAAGAUGCAUAGUUUGAGUUUGAGGAUGACAACAUGAUUAAUAAUGAGUUAUUAUGUUGUAAGAGCAUAUGUUGACGUUACAUGAUGAAUCAUGAGAGCGUUUAUAUCAUA